CCAAGGCGCUCCGUCGCGACCCCAG
rnacentral:rRNA from 1 species